rnacentral:rRNA from 1 species
GCAGUCGAGGGGUAUAGUUCUUCGGAACUAGAGACCGGCGCACGGGUGCGUAACGCGUAUGCAAUCUACCUUUUACAGAGGGAUAGCCCAGAGAAAUUUGGAUUAAUACCUCAUAGUAUAUAGCCCUGGCAUCAGGAUUAUAUUAAAGUCACAACGGUAAAAGAUGAGCAUGCGUCCCAUUAGCUAGUUGGUAAGGUAACGGCUUACCAAGGCUACGAUGGGUAGGGGUCCUGAGAGGGAGAUCCCCCACACUGGUACUGAGACACGGACCAGACUCCUACGGGAGGCAGCAGUGAGGAAUAUUGGACAAUGGGCGCAAGCCUGAUCCAGCCAUGCCGCGUGCAGGAUGACGGUCCUAUGGACUGUAAACUGCUUUUAUACGAGAAGAAACACUCCUUCGUGAAGGAGCUUGACGGUAUCGUAAGAAUAAGGAUCGGCUAACUCCGUGCCAGCAGCCGCGGUAAUACGGAGGAUCCAAGCGUUAUCCGGAAUCAUUGGGUUUAAAGGGUCCGUAGGCGGUUUAAUAAGUCAGUGGUGAAAGCCCAUCGCUCAACGGUGGAACGGCCAUUGAUACUGUUAGACUUGAAUUAUUAGGAAGUAACUAGAAUAUGUAGUGUAGCGGUGAAAUGCUUAGAGAUUACAUGGAAUACCAAUUGCGAAGGCAGGUUACUACUAAUUGAUUGACGCUGAUGGACGAAAGCGUGGGUAGCGAACAGGAUUAGAUACCCUGGUAGUCCACGCCGUAAACGAUGGAUACUAGCUGUUGGAAGCAAUUUCAGUGGCUAAGCGAAAGUGAUAAGUAUCCCACCUGGGGAGUACGUUCGCAAGAAUGAAACUCAAAGGAAUUGACGGGGGCCCGCACAAGCGGUGGAGCAUGUGGUUUAAUUCGAUGAUACGCGAGGAACCUUACCA